GAAAAAUAAAGAUAGAGCUUCGUGUGCUAAUCAACUAAUCAUUUCUGCAAAUGAAAAAAUUGGAUGAAGCAAGACACAAGGAAUCGAUUCCGGUGAAAAAAAGUGAAACAAAAAUACCCGCAGUUCAAUAUGCAAAGGAAGGAAAGCUCGAUCAAAAACCGAACGUUAUUUAAUGGCCUUGUCGAGGAAUUCCCGAGGUGGAACAAGCGGUUAAGGAUUACGCAGAAAAUGAAAAUGGCGUAAGAAGAUGCAUAAGGCGGAAAAGGAAAAUUUCUUUCAAUAUUAUUUUAAACUUCUCCGAAAUACGGACGAAGGAUAUUCUCUCACGCACGUGCAGCGUAGGGUAACAGUCAAACACUUGGCACCAGCUGGCGCCUGGUAUGUGACAUGAAUAUUUGUUUCUAAUAAGAUAUGCCGAGUCGGAGCUGCUAUUUG